rnacentral:lncRNA from 1 species
AACUUGGCCAACGCAACACAACUGGUUACCAGUAGCAGAAAGUAGUGAGUGGACUCUUCUUCUUUAUUUUUUCCCCCUUGUUGCCGUCUCCUCCUUCCAUUGCCUGUUACUUUCUUCUUCCUUUUUAGAUAAAAUUGCUUCAGAAUUAUUAGAGAGAGAGAGUCAAGAGAGGGCAUGAAGUAGAGAAGGAAAUUUGACAAGAGGUUGAGAUGGGUUGCCCCAGAUCCAGGCAACUUUGGUGUUAAUUUGUCUAAAAAGGGUAACCAUAACAUCCUUUUUGUCAAUAAAU